UACGAAGGGGGCUAGCGUUGCUCGGAAUCACUGGGCGUAAAGGGCGCGUAGGCGGCUCAUGAAGGCUGUGGUGAAAGUCCGGGGCUCAACCUCGGAUCGGCCGUGGCGACUCGUGGGCUGGAGCACUGUAGAGGCGGGUGGAAUUCCGGGUGUAGCGGUGAAAUGCGCAGAUAUCAGGAGGAACACCGGUGGCGAAGGCGGGUCUCUGGGCCGAUACUGACGCUGAGGAGCGAAAGCGUGGGGAGCGAACAGG
rnacentral:rRNA from 1 species